UUGAAUGCAAUGAUAUUAAGAAAGUCACACCAAAAUCACGCUUCCGCAAAAGUCAGGGUGUAACAUCAUCCAGCAGUGCAAUGCUACUCCAGAUUCAUUCACUGAAAGCCAAAGAUCAACUGUUAUUGUUUGAUUUAGUUCUUAUAAAUACAUUAAAAUGGAGUCAUAUUCUGACGAUUUCAAGCAAUGCUUUAUUAAACAAAUCGAAGAGCAAGUUUUGGCUGAUAGGUCUACUCUUCAAGAGUUGAAGAGGUGUUUUAGCGGACUACAACUUGGUCUGCUGACAAGAGACCAGGUUUCGAGAGACCUGAGGGCGAUGCCAACUACUUCCGUUCGUGACCUGUGUAUUGCGAGUAAUAUAGAGUGUGGAGAUAGAGACCUGGAGUUCAUGAGAAAGAUCAAUAACAUACAUCGAGAAGUUCAGUGCUCCAUGGAGUUGAAGUUAAAGUUUCUUGAUUCUUGCUAUUAGAAUUUAAGUGUCUGAUUAGUUUUCUUUUUUAUAUGUAAUUGUUUCUUUUUAAAUACUUUAUAUGGAUGAUCGUAUUAAUUUUUCU